rnacentral:lncRNA from 1 species
UCUUGUCGUGGAUACAGCAGAGCCAGAGGCGGAUGAAGAGUCACAGGAACCUCUGACCUCCAGGAGCCUACAGGAAGCCGGCUGCCCCUCGCAUAUGAGUGGCUAGAUCAUCAAAGAGUAGGCGAACAGUAUUUUGCAAGGAAGUCAAUGAUAAGGGUACAAGACAGUCUCUCCAACAGCGCAUGUGUUGAGCCCAGGUGAUAAAACAGUGGUCUGAACACCAACAGCUGCUCUCAGAGCCCAGCGGUUUCCAUGAAGCUUGGAGAACCAAGAGGGCAGGUGUGUUGUGCAUGCUCUUAUUAACCACUGCCUUCACGUGUAUUUAGUAUGGACACGGUCACUGCAAGGAUGG